AGGACGAACGCUGGCGGCGUGCUUAACACAUGCAAGUGGAGCGACGAACCAGGGCUUGCCCUGGGGCAGAGCCGCGAACGGGUGAGUAACACGUGGGUUACCUGCCUCGAUGACCGGGACAACCCGAGGAAACUCGGGCUAAUACCGGAUGUGCCCGCAAGGGGAAAGGAAGCUUCGGCCUCCGCAUCGAGAUGGGCCCGCGGCCCAUUAGCUUGUUGGUGAGGUAACGGCUCACCAAGGCUUCGAUGGGUAGCUGGUCUGAGAGGACGAUCAGCCACACUGGGACUGAGACACGGCCCAGACUCCUACGGGAGGCAGCAGUGGGGAAUCUUGCGCAAUGCGCGAAAGCGUGACGCAGCAACGCCGCGUGGGGGAAGAAGGCUUUCGGGUUGUAAACCCCUUUCAGUUUGGGACGAAGCUUCUUUGGUGAAUAGCCAAACGGAGUGACGGUACCUUCAUAAGAAGCACCGGCUAACUACGUGCCAGCAGCCGCGGU
rnacentral:rRNA from 1 species